CCUACGGGAGGCAGCAGUGAGGAAUAUUGGUCAAUGGACGAGAGUCUGAACCAGCCAAGUAGCGUGAAGGAUGACUGCCCUAUGGGUUGUAACCUUCUUUUAUAUGGGAAUAAAAUGUUCCACGUGUGGGAUUUUGUAUGUACCAUAUGAAUAAGGAUCGGCUAACUCCGUGCCAGCAGCCGCGGUAAUACGGAGGAUCCGAGCGUUAUCCGGAUUUAUUGGGUUUAAAGGGCGCGUAGGUGGAUUGUUAAGUCAGUUGUGAAAGUUUGCGGCUCAACCGGAAAAUUGCAGUUGAGACUGGCAGUCUUGAGUACAGUAGAGGUGGGCGGAAUUCGUGGUGUAGCGGGGAAAUGCUUAGAUAUCACGAAGAACUCCGAUUGCGAAGGCAGCUCACUGGACUGCAACUGACACUGAGGCUCGAAAGUGUGGGUAUCAAACAGGAUUAGAUACCCUGGUAGUC
rnacentral:rRNA from 1 species